rnacentral:tRNA from 1 species
GUUGUGGCUCAGCGGUAGAGCUCUUGCCUAGCACGUAUAAGGCCCUGGGUUUGAUCCUCAGCACAACA